rnacentral:rRNA from 1 species
UACGAAGGGGGCUAGCGUUGCUCGGAAUCACUGGGCGUAAAGGGUGCGUAGGCGGGUCUUUUAAGUCAGGGGUGAAAUCCUGGAGCUCAACUCCAGAACUGCCUUUGAUACUGAGGAUCUUGAGUUCGGGAGAGGUGAGUGGAACUGCGAGUGUAGAGGUGAAAUUCGUAGAUAUUCGCAAGAACACCAAUUGCGAAGGCAGCUGGCUACAGGUAUAUUGACACUGAGGCUCGAAAGCGUGGGGAUCAAACAGG